AGAAGCCUGUGAGGACAGCAGUGACAAAUCUCUGCCUUCAGGCUACCCUAUGGAGAAAGGUGGGAGAGAGCCCAGGCUGACUGUUUUCUACUCUUCUGAGGAAAUGGGCUCUCACACACCCAUUCCGAUUGCAGAGCACACUGAUAAAGUGAACCCUUUACAAAGAAGAACACGAAGCUGGAGUUUUUACCGAAGGCGACGCAACUAUUCAUCUGAACACGUCACUUCCCAGCAGCAGCAAGAUUCAGGUGAUGUUCCCAUGGACAUCCAAGCAAGAUAUGCUCCCUAUGCUGUUCCAUCCCGUCAUCAGAGAAGCAGUUUUCAGAAACAAGACCAAAUACAUAUUAAUAUGGAGACAAAGCAAAAGCCUCCAGAGAGAAGAAUGGAGAGAGGCAGACAGAAUGAGACCGUGGGGAGCUGGUUCAAGAUCAUUAUUCCCUUUGGUAUAAAAUAUGAUGAGAAGUGGCUGCUGAAUUUGAUUCAGAAGCAAUGCAGUGUCCCCUUCAUUCCAGUCGAAUUUCACUAUGAGAAAAUGCAGGCCCAGUUCUUUGUAGAGAAUGCCAACAUUGCCUGUGCAUUGAAGAAUGUCAAUGGCAAGAUUUUCAAUGAGGAUAAUGAAAAGAUAUCUAUCUUUGUUGAGCCCUGUGAUACACCCAAAUCUGUGAAGAAAGCACUGAAGUCUGAAAAGGUGGAGCAGAUGAAGCUUUUGUCCUUGGACCAGAGCAACAAAAAACCCUACGUGGUGCAUAGCCUGUCCACCAUUAUGGAGAAUGCUUCCCACACCAAGAACUGGAAUCUUUCCAACAUUGAGGUGAAGUCUGCAGGGGAGAUGGACAAAGGUCAACAGCUGGAACCAGGAAGGAUGGGGGCUGACAGAACCGCCAUGUGCACCACCUCCCCUGAUAAGUCAACCAACAUAAGCACCAUCUUGGAGUUGUUCCCCAAGUUACUAAGCUUGGAUGGCCAGGAGAAACCCUCAGGUUCUAAGUGUGCUAUUGAAGUCCCCAAGUACUUACCAAUGUGCAAGGGAAGCUUCUUUGGAUCUGAAGAGCUAAAGAGUCUAAUCCUGCAAUUCCUGCAGCAGUAUUACUUGAUCCAUGACUAUGGGGACCGCCAGGGACUCCUGUGUGCUUAUCAUGAGGAGGCCUGCUUCUCCCUGACCAUUCCAUUCCGCCUCAAGGACCCAGGCCCAAGCAGCAUGUGUGCGUACUUCAAGAGCAGCAGGAAUAUGAAGAAGCUCAAGGACCCCGAUCUACGGUUCCAGCUGCUGAAACACACAAAAUGUGACAUUGUGCAGGCCCUCUGUGGGUUGCCCAAAACUCAGCAUGACUUCAGGUCCUUCAUGGUGGACAUGUGGUUCCAGACGGAAACAAUGCUCUGCUUCUCUGUGAAUGGGGUGUUCAAGGAAAUAGAAGGAAGGUAUCCUGGCUGUGUGCGUGCCUUUAGCCGGACCUUCAUCACUACUCCUGCCACCUCUUCCAGUUUUUGUAUUGUGAACGAUAAGCUGUUUGUGAGUGACUUCAGCCCGGAGAAGACAGCCUGUGCUCUUCAUCCCAAAGCCUAA
rnacentral:lncRNA from 1 species